rnacentral:rRNA from 1 species
AUACGUAGGUGGCGAGCGUUGUCCGGAAUUAUUGGGCGUAAAGAGCGCGUAGGCGGGUAGAUAAGUCUGUUUUAAAAGUGCGGGGCUCAACCCCGUGAUGGAAUGGAAACUGUUUAUCUUGAGUACCGGAGAGGAAAGUGGAAUUCCCAGUGUAGCGGUGAAAUGCGUAGAUAUUGGGAGGAACACCAGUGGCGAAGGCGACUUUCUGGACGGUGUCUGACGCUGAGGCGCGAAAGCCAGGGAAGUGAACGGGAUUAGAUACCCCGGUAAUCCUGGCCGUAAACGAUGGGUACUAGGUGUAGAGGGUAUCGACCCCUUCUGUGCCGGAGUUAACGCAAUAAGUACCCCGCCUGGGGAGUACGGCCGCAAGGUUGAA